rnacentral:rRNA from 1 species
UACGUAGGGGGCUAGCGUUGUCCGGAAUCAUUGGGCGUAAAGAGCGUGUAGGCAGUCCGGUAAGUCCGCUGUGAAAGUCGGGGGGCUCAACCCUCGAAUGCCGGUGGAUACUGUCGGGCUAGAGUGCGGAAGAGGCGAGUGGAAUUCCUGGUGUAGCGGUGAAAUGCGCAGAUAUCAGGAGGAACACCUAUUGCGAAGGCAGCUCGCUGGGACGUAACUGACGCUGAGACGCGAAAGCGUGGGGAGCAAACAGG